rnacentral:piRNA from 1 species
UACUCCUAAGAAGAUGGACAUGGGUCUGU